rnacentral:rRNA from 1 species
UACGGAAGGCAGCAGUGGGGAAUAUUGCACAAUGGGCGCAAGCCUGAUGCAGCCAUGCCGCGUGUAUGAAAAAGGCCUUCGGGUUGUAAAGUACUUUCAGUCGUGAGGAAGGUGUUAAGGUUAAUAACCUUAGCAAUUGACGUUAGCGACAGAAGAAGCACCGGCUAACUCCGUGCCAGCAGCCGCGGUAAUACGGAGGGUGCGAGCGUUAAUCGGAAUUACUGGGCGUAAAGGGCACGCAGGCGGUUAAUUAAGUUGGAUGUGAAAUCCCCGGGCUUAACCUGGGAAUGGCAUUCAAGACUGGUUAGCUAGAGUCUUGUAGAGGGGGGUAGAAUUCCAUGUGUAGCGGUGAAAUGCGUAGAGAUGUGGAGGAAUACCGGUGGCGAAGGCGGCCCCUGGACAAAGACUGACGCUCAUGUGCGAAAGCGUGGGGAGCAAACAGGGAUUAGAUACC